GGGAAUAGGGCAAACCCGGAAAAAA
rnacentral:tRNA from 1 species